rnacentral:rRNA from 1 species
AUUGAACGCUGGCGGCAUGCCUUACACAUGCAAGUCGAACGGUAACAGGUCUUCGGAUGCUGACGAGUGGCGAACGGGUGAGUAAUACAUCGGAACGUGCCUAGUAGUGGGGGAUAACUACUCGAAAGAGUGGCUAAUACCGCAUGAGAUCUACGGAUGAAAGCAGGGGAUCGCAAGACCUUGUGCUACUAGAGCGGCCGAUGGCAGAUUAGGUAGUUGGUGGGAUAAAAGCUUACCAAGCCGACGAUCUGUAGCUGGUCUGAGAGGACGAUCAGCCACACUGGGACUGAGACACGGCCCAGACUCCUACGGGAGGCAGCAGUGGGGAAUUUUGGACAAUGGGCGCAAGCCGGAUCCAGCAAUGCCACGUGCAGGAUGAAGGCCUUCGGGUUGUAAACUGCUUUUGUACGGAACGAAAAGCCCUGGGUUAAUACCCUGGGGUCAUGACGGUACCGUAAGAAUAAGCACCGGCUAACUACGUGCCAGCCGCCGCAGUAAAAC